GAUCCUGGCUCAGGAUGAACGCUGGCGGCGUGCCUAACACAUGCAAGUCGAACGGAGUAAUUAAGCGGAAGUUUCGGAUGGAAGCAUAGUACUUAGUGGCGGACGGGUGAGUAACGCGUGGGCAACCUGCCCUGUACCGGGGAAUAACACUUAGAAAUAGGUGCUAAUACCGCAUAAGCGCACAGCUUCGCAUGAAGGUGUGUGAAAAACUCCGGUGGUACAGGAUGGACCCGCGUCUGAUUAGCUAGUUGGUGGGGUAGAGGCCUACCAAGGCGACGAUCAGUAGCCGGCCUGAGAGGGUGACCGGCCACAUUGGGACUGAGACACGGCCCAAACUCCUACGGGAGGCAGCAGUGGGGAAUAUUGCACAAUGGGGGAAACCCUGAUGCCAGCGACGCCGCGUGAGUGAAGAAGUAUUUCGGUAUGUAAAGCUCUAUCAGCAGGGAAGAAAAUGACGGUACCUGACUAAGAAGCCCCGGCUAACUACGUGCCAGCCGCCGC
rnacentral:rRNA from 1 species